CACGUAGGGUGCGAGCGUUGCCCGGAAUUAUUGGGCGUAAAGAGCUUGUAGGCGGUUUGUCGCGUCUGCUGUGAAAUCUCAAGGCUCAACCUUGAGCUUGCAGUGGGUACGGGCAGACUAGAGUGUGGUAGGGGAGACUGGAAUUCCCGGUGUAGUGGUGGAAUGCGUAGAUAUCGGGAGGAACACCAGUGGCGCAGGCGGCGUCCUGGACCGGCACUGACGCUGAGGAGCGAAAGCGUGGGGAGCGAUCCGG
rnacentral:rRNA from 1 species